AACGUAGGACACGAGCGUUAUCCGGAGUUACUGGGCGUAAAGGGCGUGCAGGCGGUUUUGUAAGUUUGAUGUGAAAGCGCCCGGCUUAACCGGGCGAGGACAUUGGAGACUGCAAGACUAGAGGCAGAUAGAGGGGUGUAGAAUUCCGGGUGUAGUGGUGAAAUGCGUAGAGAUCCGGAGGAACACCAGCGGCGAAGGCGGGUAGCUGGGCCAACACUGACGCUGAGACGCGAAAGCUAGGGGAGCAAACGGG
rnacentral:rRNA from 1 species